UCCCCUUCUUGAAUCUCUUCCCCUUCUUAAUCGUCUGAUUGCUAAAGGUUGAGGAUGGGGUUUGGGGUUAACCUCUCUAUAAAGCGCCGAAGCCUUUUCUUUUCCCCCCGACUUUCUCCUCUGUUCUUCCUCUGCUUCUCGCGACUUCGGACUUCACGCGACCGAGACCGGCGAUUUCUUCUUCUCUCGGUGGCGCCGGCGAAGAGCGGACCUUGGAGCGUUGAGAGGAAGAGAGGUGGUUCUUUCUGGGAAGCAGAGACUGGUAUUUUGGUCCCGGCCACCACAGCUCUGUUGGAUCGAUCUCUUCUUCGUAUCAGUGAUCGUCUCCGGUGAUUGAAGGGUGCAGAGAGGAUGCGAUGUGCUUAUUUUAGAUACUGGAUUGGGAAGUGCAGAGAAUCAAGCAAGGGUCAAGGAGUUGCUUCAUGUGGAGGAAUCAAAACUAGAGGAGGAUGAGGGAAAUACCACUCCAGCAGUGAGAUGGGUUCGAGAUGAUAAAUAUGAUUGCAUCCGAUUAAAGCAUUGCAAGUAAUUUGAUGAGUGUUGUUGCAUCAUUCUAUAAGGCAAUUUUAGCAGUUACAACAGGGAUAUCUGUGCCCUUCAACAACUUGGCUAUUAUAUACAAGCAACAGCUUCAAGAUAUCAAACUCUACACCUUCUAUAUGGAGCUAGAUUUGCAAAAGCCAUAUCCAACUCGAGGAAGUGACUUAUUGACAUGGGAGAGAACUUAUUGGUAACCAAGGACUUUGUGAAGAUAGCAAAUUUUGGCCUUGCUCGUGAAGUUCAUUCGAAGCCACCAUUCACAGAAUAGGUUUCAACACGCUGUUUACAAAUCUCAAGUACUCCAGAGUUGAAAUUGAUGAAAUGCAGUUCGAGUGGGCUGA